rnacentral:rRNA from 1 species
UUGACCUCGAAUCAGGUAGGAAUACCCGCUGAACUUAAGCAUAUCAAUAAGCGGAGGAAAAGAAACCAACCGGGAUUACCUCAGUAACGGCGAGUGAAGCGGUAACAGCUCAAAUUUGAAAUCUGGCUCCUACGGAGUCCGAGUUGUAAUUUGUAGAAGAUGCUUUGGGUUGUGGGUUCGGCCUAAGUUCCUUGGAACAGGACGUCAUAGAGGGUGAGAAUCCCGUAUGUGGCCGAGGCCUGCGCCUAUGUAAAGCUCUUUCAACGAGUCGAGUUGUUUGGGAAUGCAGCUCAAAAUGGGUGGUAAAUUUCAUCUAAAGCUAAAUAUGGGCCAGAGACCGAUAGCGCACAAGUAGAGUGAUCGAAAGAUGAAAAGCACUUUGGAAAGAGAGUUAAACAGUACGUGAAAUUGUUGAAAGGGAAGCGCUUGCGACCAGACUUGGGCGCUGCCGAUCACCCCGAGUUUUCUCGGGUGCACUCGACAGCGCACAGGCCAGCAUCGGUUCGGGUGGCUGGAUAAAGGCCGUAGGAACGUGGCUCCCUUCGGGGAGUGUUAUAGCCUACGGUGCCAUGCAGCCCAGCCGGACCGAGGACCGCGCCUUCGGGCUAGGAUGCUGGCGUAAUGGUUGUAAGCGACCCGUCUUGAAACACGGACCAAGG